UGUGUUAUAUUCUGGACAAAAAAGGUGUGUUAUUUGAACACACCUUUUUUUAGAGUGUGAAUACGUACAAUCCAGAAAGUCAGUUUAUACAAGACCUUCGAGAGAAAGAAGUCCCUGGUAUGAAGGGAGUAGUAUCGUCAUCUAAAGGAUUACACACCAAACUACGUCAAGCUGCUCAACGGAAAAAUGGAGUAACAAAAGAACGCAAACAGUUGAUUAAAAUGGGAAAUAAGCUGAGAGCUGAAUUGUUGAAAUAUAAAGGAGGGAAAAAAUCGCCUUCAAUUGAGGCACGUCAAUCGUCCAAAGAUCCGCAGAAUGUGGCGCAAACAUCCCGAUCCCAACUACGGGGUUUGGAACAGUUGCAAUAUGAACUAACAAGCAAAGAACUGCAUGCAGUAUGCACAGAGAACACUAGCGAGGAAUAAUGAUCAGCAUUCGCUAUCUCCUCGCAAAAAAAAUUCCGCGUCGGCCCAAAACUUCAAAAACACUCUUCAAACACGGAACUCGCAGAAAAAGCAGGCCUACCGGAAUCGUCUACUGUUCGUGACGAAAUCGUCUCGCCAUGGCAACCUUCGUUCUCAUCAGACGACCGCGCGUCGUUACAAGAUGUCUGGAAACUACUAGACGAGGACAGUUCUGGAUUAACCCAUCGCGGGGACGAAGUCAGCAUGUCUCAGCUUCGGGAAAGUUUCUCAACUACGGACAGUUUCACGGUCAAAGGUCAGCCUAGUCACGUGCAUCUCAAGCCAGAGUGUUCCAAGGCUGCGCUGUCUGUCAAGGCAGCUGGGAAAUGGACACUCUCCCAGGUAAAAGCGAAGAUAAGAGAUUAUAAUAUAUAAGACGAAGAUGUUCGCGAGGGAUUGUAGAUAUUUUUAUUUACCUAUAAUAUUUGUUUUUAACAAGACCGGUCAUUCAUGGCAGUAGGAGGCUGUGUUGGGAAUUUGUGUGUUUAACCCUCACUUCCAAUCUGUCCUUAAUUAUCCAAUUUUCUUACUUACUAUUGAUCCCCAUGCAGUAAUAAUUUAUACCCAUGACGUUUGCAUGCAUUAUAAUAAUCAUUCUAUUUCCGCAUAAAAUCCAACACCCCCCCCCCUAUUAUAAUAUAAAAAGUAUUAGAAUAUAAAAGUUGUGCCUCGUUCAGUGUUCACCGUCCCAAUAAAUGUUAACUUGAUUGAAUUCUAAUUUUAACGCAACUGUUCGAAAUAUAUGUUAAAAUCUAAAGCACUAAGUUCUAUACUGUCUUUCUUGUGCGACCAGAUCUAAUGAUCUUGAUCCCCUUACAAAAACUAACUAUAGUUUCGACAAAAUAACUAUAGUUUUUUGCCUUAAAACUUUAGUUCUUCUGAACAACUAUAGUUUCAGACGAAAACACUAUAGUUAUUCGUGACACUAUAGUUUCCAAAUACAGAAACUACAGUUUUUCGAAACUAUAGUUUU